rnacentral:rRNA from 1 species
GAUGAACGCUGGCGGCGUGCCUAAUACAUGCAAGUCGAGCGAACAGACGAGGGGCUUGCUCCUCUGACGUUAGCGGCGGACGGGUGAGUAACACGUGGAUAACCUACCUAUAAGACUGGGAUAACUUCGGGAAACCGGAGCUAAUACCGGAUAAUAUAUUGAACCGCAUGGUUCAAUAGUGAAAGACGGUUUUGCUGUCACUUAUAGAUGGAUCCGCGCCGCAUUAGCUAGUUGGUAAGGUAACGGCUUACCAAGGCAACGAUGCGUAGCCGACCUGAGAGGGUGAUCAGCCACACUGGAACUGAGACACGGUCCAGACUCCUACGGGAGGCAGCAGUAGGGAAUCUUCCGCAAUGGGCGAAAGCCUGACGGAGCAACGCCGCGUGAGUGAUGAAGGUCUUCGGAUCGUAAAACUCUGUUAUUAGGGAAGAACAAAUGUGUAAGUAACUAUGCACGUCUUGACGGUACCUAAUCAGAAAGCCACGGCUAACUACGUG